AUUGUGAAUGGCAUCACGCUUGUUUUGUUAUUUGAUAAAACAAUUCAGUGUUUAUGGGGUUUAAUAAUUGGUUCUAUAAAAUAAUCUAAUUAUAUGUCACAAAUGGGUGGUAAAAGUUAUUAUUGUGAUUAUUGUUUAUGCUUUCUUAAGAACGACAUAAAUGUGCGUAAAAUACAUAAUUCUGGGUUAACUCAUAAAAUAGCAAAAAUUCGAUAUAUACGAAGCUUCACAGAUCCUCGAAAAGUGCUGGAGGAAGAAUGCAGCAAAGAACCUUGCUAUCGUUAUUUAUCUGGCAGGUAUUGCAAAUUUGAUUUACUGUGCAAUUCAACACAUUUUAAUAAAAUCCAACUACAACGAUUACGGGAAAUAGCUGAUCGAUUGGAAAGAACUCGAAGGCAGAAACCCGCAUCUAAAGCAGUAAACGAAAUUAAAUUAAAGAUUAUACUGCCUUGGCAAUCUAACGACGGUAAAAAAAGACGACAGGAAACCAAAAGAUUUACAGAAUCCUUAAAACCUAUUAACUUUAAUCGAAUGAAUAGUGAUAGCUUAAACCUUGAAUGGGGUUAAUGGGGAAGAAACGAAAUAUGUACAUACCUAUAACUGAAUACAGAAAAAAUUCCAAAACACAUUAGCACCUAUUACAUUUUUUUUAUUUUAAUUUUUAUUUAAAUUUUAAAUUUUUCCGUCUUUUCCGUGUUUAUAUGUACAAUCUUCUACUUAACCAAGCAAAGUCACAACAUUUUCAAUAGCGCUGUCAACUUUCAAACUCAAUUGAAGCAUCUUCCCGAAUUCCGAAUAAUAAGACUUUGCAUCCUGACCACUAAAGUUUAAAACGCGCGGAUCAGUAAGAUGAGCAAGCAGGAAGAAGACAAAAUGCUCUGAAAAAUGGGAUAAUUGAAGCUGUACUUCCACUUUUUCGAUCACCUGUCUCCAAAAACUUUUUCUUCAACUUUGGCUGUGCAUUUCGUGACAUAUUACCAUAUUUUUGUUCUAAUGUUUUGCAAAUAUCCUCAUAGUAUUUACUAAAAUCAGUUUCUGUUGAUGAUUGCACAUUCCGAUGGAAUAAAGGGUUUGUUCGGAGACGUUCA